GACGUAGGGCGCGAGCGUUGUCCGGAUUUAUUGGGCGUAAAGGGCUCGUAGGCGGUUUGUCACGUCUGCUGUGAAAACUGGAGGCUCAACCUCCAGCCUGCAGUGGGUACGGGCAGACUAGAGUGCGGUAGGGGAGAUUGGAAUUCCUGGUGUAGCGGUGGAAUGCGCAGAUAUCAGGAGGAACACCGAUGGCGAAGGCAGAUCUCUGGGCCGUAACUGACGCUGAGGAGCGAAAGCAUGGGGAGCGAACAGG
rnacentral:rRNA from 1 species